rnacentral:rRNA from 1 species
GUAGGGAAUCUUCCGCAAUGGACGAAAGUCUGACGGAGCAACGCCGCGUGAGUGAAGAAGGUUUUCGGAUCGUAAAACUCUGUUGUCAGGGAAGAACAAGUAUGGGAGUAACUGCCCGUACCUUGACGGUACCUGGCCAGAAAGCCACGGCUAACUACGUGCCAGCAGCCGCGGUAAUACGUAGGUGGCAAGCGUUGUCCGGAAUUAUUGGGCGUAAAGCGCGCGCAGGCGGCCUUUUAAGUCUGAUGUGAAAGCCCCCGGCUCAACCGGGGAGGGUCAUUGGAAACUGGAAGGCUUGAGUGCAGAAGAGAAGAGCGGAAUUCCACGUGUAGCGGUGAAAUGCGUAGAGAUGUGGAGGAACACCAGUGGCGAAGGCGGCUCUUUGGUCUGUAACUGACGCUGAGGCGCGAAAGCGUGGGGAGCGAACAGGAUUAGAUACCCUAGUAGUCC